UACGGAGGUGGCAAGCGUUGCUCGGAAUCACUGGGCGUAAAGGGCGCGUAGGCGGCCUCCGCAAGUCAGUUGUGAAAUCUCCGAGCUUAACUCGGAAAGGUCAACUGAUACUGCGGGGCUAGAGUGCGGAAGGGGCAACUGGAAUUCUUGGUGUAGCGGUGAAAUGCGUAGAGAUGUGGAGGAACACCGAUGGCGAAGGCAGCCCCCUGGGGUAACACUGACGCUCAUGCACGAAAGCGUGGGGAGCAAACAGG
rnacentral:rRNA from 1 species